rnacentral:rRNA from 1 species
CGUGGAGACAGGUGGUGCAUGGCUGUCGUCAGCUCGUGUCGUGAGAUGUUGGGUUAAGUCCCGCAACGAGCGCAACCCUCACCUCUUGUUGCCAUCAGGUCAUGCUGGGCACUCUAGAGGAACUGCCCCGGUCAACGGGGAGGAAGGCGGGGAUGACGUCAAGUCAUCAUGCCCCUUACGUCCUGGGCUACACACGUGCUACAAUGGCCGGUACAAAGGGAUGCCACAUCACGAGGUGGAGCUAAUCCCAAAAAGCCGGUCUAAGUUCAGAUUGGAGUCUGCAACUCGACUCCAUGAAGGAGGAAUCGCUAGUAAUCGCGUAUCAGCACGACGCGGUGAAUACGUUCCCGGGCCUUGUACACACCGCCCGUCACACCACGAAAGCCUGCUGUACUCGAAGUCGCUGAG